rnacentral:tRNA from 1 species
GAAGAGGUUUCCAUUGGUAAGGUAAACAACCUGCUAAGUUGUCGUAUGAAUAUACUUGUGGGUUCAAUUCCCACUCUCUUCG